rnacentral:rRNA from 1 species
AUCGAACGCUAGCGGGAUGCCUUACACAUGCAAGUCGAACGGAGUGGCGGACGGGUGAGCAAUAUAUUGGAACGUGCCCCGUCGCGGGGGAUAACUACUAGAAAGAGUGGAUACUACCGCAUACUAUUGGUGCGGCCGCUACCGGAUUAGAGAGUUGGGGGGGUAAAGGAUCAUCAAGGCCACGAUCCGUAGCUGGUUUGAGAGGCCGCACAGCCACACUGGGACUGAGACACGGCCCAGACUCCUACGGGAGGCAGCAGUGGGGAAUUUUGGACAAUGGGGGAAACCCUGAUCCAGCCAUCCCGCGUGUAUGAUGAAGGCCUUCGGGUUGUAAAGUACUUUUGGCAGGGAAGCGGUAUCUGCAGAAGAAGCACCGGCUAACUACGUGCCAGCAGCCGCGGUAAUAC